AACGAACGCUGGCGGCAUGCCUAACACAUGCAAGUCGAACGAGACCUUCGGGUCUAGUGGCGCACGGGUGCGUAACGCGUGGGAACCUGCCCUUAGGUUCGGAAUAACUCCCCGAAAGGGGUGCUAAUACCGGAUAAUGUCUUCGGACCAAAGAUUUAUCGCCUUUGGAUGGGCCCGCGUUGGAUUAGCUAGUUGGUAGGGUAAAAGCCUACCAAGGCGACGAUCCAUAGCUGGUCUGAGAGGAUGAUCAGCCACGCUGGGACUGAGACACGGCCCAGACUCCUACGGGAGGGAGCAGUGGGGAAUAUUGGACAAUGGGCGAAAGCCUGAUCCAGCAAUGCCGCGGGAGUGAUGAAGGCCUUAGGGUUGUAAAGCUCUUUUACCCGGGAUGAUAAUGACAGUACCGGGAGAAUAAGCUCCGGCUAACUCCGUG
rnacentral:rRNA from 1 species